rnacentral:tRNA from 1 species
GCGUUUGUAGUCCAACGGUUAGGAUAAUUGUCUUUCAAGCAAUAAAUCCAGUUUCAACUCCCAGCCAACACA